GACGUAGGGGGGCGAGCGUUGUCCGGAUUCAUUGGGCGUAAAGCGCGCGUAGGCGGCUGCGCAAGUCGGUUGAUGAAAUUCCGGGCGCAACCCCACGGAACUGCGUCCGAUACUGCGUGGCUAGAGGUAGGUAGGGAGAUCGGAAUUCCUGGUGUAGCGGUGAAAUGACGCAGAUAUCAGGAGGAACACCGGUGGCGAAGGCGGAUCUCUGGGCCAUAACUGACGCUGAGAAGCGAAAGCAUGGGGAGCGAACAGG
rnacentral:rRNA from 1 species